GACGGCUACACCACGUUGUCAACAUUGGCUCUCGUCCGAUCGCAGCAGUUAAGCAACAUUGGGCAUGGUUAGUACCUGGAUGGAGUACCGCCUGGGUAAACCAUGUGCUGUUG
rnacentral:rRNA from 1 species